GCGCGAGUAGCUCAGUUGGUAGAGCAUCAGCUUCCCAAGCUGAGGGUCGCCGGUUCGAACCCGGUCUCGCGCUCCA
rnacentral:tRNA from 5 species